GCUGAAGCUGGGUGCUUGCACCUGGUGGAUGAGUGGCGAACGGGUGAGUAAUACGUGAGUGACCUUCCUUGGACUCUGGGAUAAGCCCGGGAAACUGGGUCUAAUACCGGAUACGACCAGUCCUCGCAUGGGGUGCUGGUGGAAAGGGUUUGUACUGGUUCUUGAUGGGCUCACGUCCUAUCAGCUUGUUGGUGAGGUAAUGGCUUACCAAGGCGACGACGGGUAGCCGGCCUGAGAGGGUGACCGGCCACACUGGGACUGAGACACGGCCCAGACUCCUACGGGAGGCAGCAGUGGGGAAUAUUGCACAAUGGGCGCAAGCCUGAUGCAGCGACGCCGCGUGGGGGAUGACGGCCUUCGGGUUGUAAACCUCUUUCAGCAGGGAAGAAGCGAAAGUGACGGUACCUGCAGAAGAAGCGCCGGCUAACUACGUGCCAGCAGCCGCGGUAAUACGUAGGGCGCAAGCGUUGUCCGGAAUUAUUGGGCGUAAAGAGCUCGUAGGCGGUUUGUCGCGUCUGCUGUGAAAGCCCGGGGCUCAACCCCGGGUGUGCAGUGGGUACGGGCAGGCUGGAGUGCAGUAGGGGAGACUGGAAUUCCUGGUGUAGCGGUGAAAUGCGCAGAUAUCAGGAGGAACACCGAUGGCGAAGGCAGGUCUCUGGGCUGUUACUGACGCUGAGGAGC
rnacentral:rRNA from 1 species